GGAAAUUAAUGCUCUUUUAGUAUUUGUCCAGCAGGUUUUCUCAAUGAGAAAGCCCCC
ensembl:snRNA U7 U7 small nuclear RNA